GCCCAACACAGGGCUCGAACUCAUGAACAGUGAGAUCAUGACCUGAGCCAGAGUUGGACACUUAACCGACUGAGCCACCCAGGCACCCCUAAAGAGAUCUUAGAGUAUGGCCUAGAUAGGGUUCCUUGGAGGCAGAUCCGAUGCCAAGAAUUACAGUGUAGAAGUUGGGUGUACUUCCGUAGGGACACCUAUGAUGAUUGGUCAGAAGAAGAAACUAAUCUUUAAUAUAGUUGUAACUGAGCCCUUAGACAAUCUGAUGGAAUUCUGGAGCUGGAAUGAGCUUUCAGAAUGACUUCCAACUGAAGCCAGGAGGCCUGGCCUUUAUAACGCUGCAUUAGCCAGUCCUGGCUGUGAGCCACCCCUGGGAGGGGCCUCAAUCUUGGGCCAGGCAGUUCUCUGCCAAGGGCACUGACCUAGUAAGGGACACAGCUGAGAGCCUUCAGCAGCUGGGAGCUGGGUGCCUCAGCCCUGAAGAGGGGACCUGGAGAGAACAGAAGGUAUUCAAGAUUUGUAAGGAUUAGAAGAAUUCAUCUGCCGAAAGUAAAACCAAAACACCCUGAGACUCAAUGUUAAAAGAAUCAGAUCCUAAAAGAAGGUGUGUUGCUGAUGAGACUGGAGAACUUACCAUCUCUACUAAAUACUCCCAAGUCCAGUGAAGAAGAUCAUGGUAUGUGCCAGAGCUUUCUAACAUGUUCGCUAGCAACAAUGACCCACCGUUGUAUUGGGGGCUUUUACUUUCUUGGAACCUUAGGGUGGCAGAACAGGACUUAGGAUGACAAGUCCCUCUAUCAGUUCACCCAGUAUGCCACACAAACAUUGUUGUGUAUGGUUGCAUGAUGGACAAGAAGUUGGGAAGCACUAGAUUCUAAAGUUACUGGUUCAAUUGUACUGUAUUAUGUCUGGGUCAAGGCAGGCAUCACAGAUGGGCGUGGUCUGUGUGAGUUUACACCAACUGGUUGGUGCUUCUCAAGCUCCAGGCUGGAGUGGGAUCCCUCUGAUUCUGAGAACCAGCACUGUUCAACCAGAAACAUCUCCAGAGUGCAGUAGGCAGUUCAUCCAGGUACUCUAGGAUGAUUAAAUAUCCCUUAGGAGCAAAGGAUAUCCCAUGGAGCUUUUCCCUGCUUGUGUCCACAUUAAGAAUAUCUGCUUUGUGUUUCAGCAUCCUGAGUGGUAUGAUCCUCAGGAGUUCUCUGAGAAAAGAUGGGCACCAGUGAUCCUACCUGAUCUCCUCAUUGUCAUUCAGGCCCUUAUUUAAAGGAUGUGGUUCUCCAUACCUUGCUUAUCUGUGAGGAACUGAUGAAAUUAAGUUCUCAAACCAGCAAACCUAAGGGUCAACCUCUGGGUCAUGGUGACUCGGUACAGAAACCCUGGGCAAGUUCUCUCAGCAUCAUCAUUCAACAAAUACAUUAAGGAAACAUCUCAAACAGAAGGAACUGGCCACUAGAGAAACAAUAUGUUGUCACCUAAGAAUUCUGGGGCUGUGCUCUCUAAGACCCGGCAGGAUGGGAAGGAGUUUGAGAAGCCUCAAUGACAGACAUCUGAUCAAUGAGCCUUCGGCUGGUCCCCUGGGAGGAUAUCUGAGUCCUGUAGCACAAAUAGGUAGCAUGGUCUGUAAUCUCUGGUCAUAGGGACAGACUAGGGGAGACACCAGAACCAUAUUCAUCUUCCCAUUCUGCCUUUCACUUUUUUGUGGGGGAAGAAACGCUAGGUGUUUCCCCUGUGUGGUUGUGAGCUUUGACCCAAACCCUUGGUCUUCUUGAUCCCAGGGCUGCCCCAGGACUAGAUCUCAGGUGGAUUUCAAACUGGUUUUGCAUACCCACUGGGCUAUAAAAAAUGGUCCUCUUGAUUUUCUUUCCAAGGAGAGAGGCAAGAGGUAGUAGUGGUAUGAAACCUUCGCACCUGUGCCAGAGGAUUCCUGUUCUUACAUGGGCGUGCGUGCGUGCGUGCACACACACACACCAGAAGGUGCACUAAUUUCCCCCUGGGUGACACCAUGGAAGAUUCUCUGGCAAAGCAAGUCUGGGCAGGUCUGAUGGCAGUUUCACCUGGGCUACUGGCUUAGGAACCAGAGAAGAAGAAAAGGGAGAGAGCCAGACUGGACAACUGAAAUUCAGCCCAAGUUCCUGCCUGUCUCCAAGGAAGGUUUUGUGCUGUUCUCUGGAACUGUUCUAGCCAGCUUGAGGGAGAGAGGUAUCAUCUCUGUUUGUAGUUAGCCAGAGUCCACUCCCUAGUGCUUUGGGGCAGCCAACUGAACUCUGGCGUCUCCUUCUCGUUGUGCUUUAACACGAUGCCAGUAGGCUCCACCCGAGCUGGGAGAUGGCGUAGCCCCUGCCAAGGCCUUUGUCUUUUUUGACCACAAGCCCCAGCAUAUCUAGAAGCGUCCAGCUCUCUAGAUUCCACCAAACCCCCAGGCCUCUCUGGCCCAUUGUCAGAGGGUUGUGCCACUGCUUUGACAUAGACUUAAUCACAAGCUGUUGCUCUUAUCUCUGCCUCUGUGCUCUGCCUUUUAAGGACAAGGACCAAGACCUCUUCAUUUCUCCAAACUCCGUGCCACCUACAGCAGUGCUAGUUAGAAGGUAGGGUCUCAGGAAACAUUUGGUAGACGAACAAGUAAAGGCAUGAAUAAAUGAAUUUAUGAAGAUGCCAAAUGAAUAAAUGCAUUUAUGAACUAUGAAAGCCCUGUUACCACUGACCACUUGAGUCAGGGGGCCAAGCCAGAGCAUCUAAUCCUAGAGUAGAGGGUGGGAGAUGGGGUGGAAGGCCCUUACCAGCUGCCCCAGAAGCGUUCCCCCAGCCUCAUGGAGCAACUCAGUCUCUCUGUCAGCAGAGACAUCUUAUUAUCAUCCCUGCAAGUCCCAGUCUUGAAUGGAAUUGGGUGAAUUGGGUGUAUAAUAAGAGUAAUAAUAAUAGGUCAGAAAAAUUUGUAUGAAGGAUAAUAUGUAUAACCAUUUUCCCUCUGGGGGCUUCUGAGGUUAAAAAAGGGUUUUGUUUUCUUUGAGCUAAGCAGGUAUACUAAUCAAGGCAAAACUAGCUUCUGUAAUAAGCAGACCUUCCAGUUCUCCAUAGCAUCACUAUGAUCGUUUCAUUUCUUGUUAACGUCAAUCCUAUCAGGGAUUCCAUAGGUAGCCUCACAUGUGAUGAUUCAUGGACCCAUGUUCCUUCCUUGAAGCUUAGUUAGCUAUAUCCUCUUGGGUCUUGGCGUCCGUCCUGCCUUUAGCUGGCAGAGAAGGAAAGAGAAGGUGGAGGAGAAGUACCCCCUUCUCAAUCACUUAAGCCUGGAAGUGACCUUUCUGCCCACCUCCCAGGGAUGAGGACCAGUCUACCCUAGUCCACAUAGAUGCUAGGCAGGUGAGAAAUGUAGCUCCGGUUGGGAAUCCCUCUUUCAGACCCCCUCAUCAUGAGAGGGGACGCAGGUCUCAGAAAAACAGUCCCUGACGUGGCGAAGUAAUGACUGGCAGUAAUGGAGUGAAGAAGCCAAGGGAAUGGGCUAGAAAGGACACAGACCUAUCCACUGGGAAGGACACAGAAGCUCAGAGAAGGGAGAGGGGGAGGAGGAGAGAGAAUAGAUUGGAGCUGAGGCUGUGGGGUGUGAGACUUUGGAGAUGUUAAGAAAUCUUGCAGAGUAUUGUUGGUGUGAUGGCUCCCAUGUCAGGCUUUGCCAAGCCUCCAGUAGCUGGCAAGAGGACAGAGGCCGAGCUCAGGUUACUGAGUUACAUGGGUUAAAAGCCAGGAGCUGUUCUGAAAUUAAAUAGUGAUGAUGGUUGCAGAGCAUUGUGCAUAUACUAAAAAUUACUGAACUGCACACUCACAGGGGUGAAUUGUAUGACAAUAUGAAUAUAGCUCAACAAAGAAAUUAUAUGAGGGAGAAACAGGAACCACCACCUUUUGAGCACUACUUUGGGCCACCAUUUCACAUACCUUGAUCAACCCUAAUUCUUACUUUAACCUGAAAGAUAGGUAGGUACUGAUGUCUCUAUUUUACAGAUAAAAAACAGACUCACUGAAGUGAAAGGGCCCAACAUCACACAGGUGGUGAAGUCAGAAUUCACACCCCAAGGUCUGCCCAGCUCCAGAGCUGGCGUUCUCCCCACGACGCUGCCUGCUUUCGGUGACAGUCGCUGCCAUUUACUGAGUGCCACGUACUGAGAUGUGAAAAAAGAAGCAUAUAGCCUAGUGGCUGCUAGCGGACAACUUGCAACCAGCCUGUGGUCAAAACAGACACAUGGAAGAGAGCAGAGCCAAAGGUAUUAUAGACAAAUGGAGUCGGAGCCCUGAUCAAAUGGAUCCUGAAAGCAUAAUGCCUUGGGAGUUGUCAGUUAUGUGAACCAAAGCAUUUCCCUUUAUUGUUUAAGCCAGUUUGGGUUAAUUUAAAUGACUAAUGAUGUUGUUUUGCAAAAAUUAAAUUGUCACUGGCAACACAAA